ensembl:lncRNA
AUCUUAUUAGAUUGCAUUUAAAAGCAGUUACUAUAAAUUGGAAUGGGAGAUUGUCUAGGGCUUUACCUUCUUUUCACCUCCACUAUCUCUUCCUCGUCCUUGUACCACUUGAUGAUAGAGUCACUGAGCACGUUGAAGAACUGGCACCAGAGCUUUAAAUGUCCUGAAGCAUCUGGGAAGGGCUCUCCCCUGAUUUUACGGAUUACCUGAGGAGCUGGUGAAAGAGAGCGGGGGACAACAAGUAGAAGAUAGAUGGUACAUGUUUAACAUUGCCACUCCCUUUAGUGGUAGAUUACAGAUGAACCCAACCUAAUAGAACAGUUUUGGGCAUGCUUUGAAAUGUUUACCUUUGAAGGGGUUCAAUUUCUCCUUCUCGGCAGGUUUGAUCUCAGUCUUGGGGCUCUCUGGUUCCUCUGUGCUGGCCUGGUCCCCAACUUUGGGAACCUCCAGGGUGGCCUUCUUACGGCCCAGCAGAGGGGAGCGCCUCUCCAGCGGUGGGGUCUGUGAGCCUGCUGGGGCCUGCAGGAACGCUGCCCUACGAGCUUGAUUGGGCGACAUGUAGGGAGCCUCUUUCUUGACCUGGGUGUCCAGUGGACUACCACCCACACCUAACGCCACCACAACCCCCACCCCUUCUCCCUCCCGGGGGAUGAAGAUCUUGCGUCGAGCUCCAGAGGCCAGCUCCUCAGGUGUGGCGGAGCGGAUGAGGGUCAGGCUGUCCCUCCUUUUCAGCCUGGGGCUGCUCUCACAUGACAGGGAGGAUGUGGGUGUGUCUCCACCACUCGGCUCUGAGCCCGCCUUCUCGUUGUUAGCUAGGUCGUCUACUGUAAUUGCCGGGGGAGUCCGGGACAUCAACCGGCGGAGGCUGCUAGGACUCCUGGGGGGUGUUGGAGGUUUGACAGCCAGCCUCUCAAUCGAGGUUCUUUCUCUUGGUUCAUCGCCUAUGAUGUAAGACUCUAUCCUUGACUCUUUGAGUGGUUUCACCUUAUCAGUUUCAGUAACGCCGGUGUCCUCAGCUUUGUGGAUUACUGUUGCUACUUCUUUUGGCGACAACGCUGUCACACUCUUUUCUUUUGUUUCUGUAGUCUGUUUCUGUGGAAUACUAGGGGAUUUGUCUGGCUCAACGGUAAUGUAAUACUCAAAAUCACUUUUGACCCCCCCUUGCAUAGGCCUCACUGAAUCAGAAUCUUUAUAUUCAUUUUUAGGAAGUUCUGAGCUUUCAGAAAGGCUAUUUUCACAGAUUGCAGAAAUAGGAAGGGUGACAAUGAGAGGUAAUUUGAGAGCUUCCUCUCUCUUUACUGUGUCUAAAACUGUGGACUUGACAUGAGGGUGUUCAUUGUCUUUUUUUAUAUGUUGACUGUCUUCAGUAAAGGAAACAUUUAUUGUAGGAAUUAACUUAGUGUCUUUCAUUGUGAGACACUCACUCUUUAUCACUGUUGGUUGCUCUGCUUUGGGUGUUUUUGCCUCUUCAAAUGAUUGUGUAACUUCCUGCACUUUCUCCAUUGGAUGGAGGAUAUCAUCGUUCCACAUACUUUCUUGUGUGGGUGUUACAUCUAUAAACACAGGGAUGACAGAUGCACUAUUUUCGGUGAUCAUUGUGUUAGACAGCUUGUUUGCAACCCCAUUUUGAGAUUCAUUAGGUCUGAUAAGUAAUAAUGGCUGUAUAUGAUCUUUGACUUCGGGUUCCGUAAUUUCUAUAUUUGGUAUAAUAAUUUCUUCUUCUUUUAUCUGUUGUUCUGGCAGACUUAAUUUGAGAUCUGGGAUUUUAAGAGCAGGAUCCAUGACUGUUAUCUCUGGUAAAUUUCCAAAGGACCCGCCCAGAUAGAUGUCAUCAGCCUCUUGGCUAGUUACUGGUUUUACCGUGGACACAAGGGCAGAGUCUCUCUCAAACUGUGGCUCUUGUUGGAUUUUCGAUUCACCCUCCUUUAUUUCUUUCACUGUUUCUUCUAUUUCAAUCUGUCUGUCAAUAGUGUGGGUCCACACUUCCUUUCUCUCCAAGCUCACAUUUUGUUCCAUAGACUGUUUCAACACAUGAGGUGUGACCUGUUCUUGUAUUGUCAUUGUGCCAAAGGAACAGUUCACUGAAUCUUUCUUUAAAGGAGGAAUGCAUUCAACUUUAAAGGCACUUUCAAUACUUUCCUUUGAAUUUGCCGCAAGUUUUGUGUUGAGGUCAUGGUCCUCUAUGCACUCUGCUGUCAUAGAAGGACUUGCCUCUGGUAUUUUUACAUCUGUACUUUUAAAAGUUUCUUGAGGCGAAGUAGGAGAAGAUGCUUCCAGGCUCUCAUUUUUUAUCUUUUCUCCACCCUCUAAAACGGGGAUGUAUUCUAUGUGUACUUUUGACGAAAUUGUCUCUACGUUCUCUUGCAAAGCAUCAACAUACUUGUCUAGUGAUAUAAAAUCUUGUGUAUUAACAUUAUGAUCCGAAGUAAGAGUGGGCUGUUCUUGUGUUUUAAAAUCACUUGUUUCAAUUCUCUCUUCCACAGCAGCAAAUAUCUCUGCACUCACAUUUAAAGCAGGCCAUGGUUUAUUCUCUUCUUUGACAUUAUCUUUCUCUUCAUGUGUCUCAUAAACACUUUCAGUGCCCUUCUCUGGCAUUUCUUGCUCUUUCUCAGGCAAUUCCUUCUCUUUCUCUGGCAAUUCCUUUUCAUUCUCACUUUCAGUGGUCACUGUCACUAGGCCCGGGCUGACUGUGGGUGAGACACUGGGUGAGACACUGGGUGAGACACUGAUACAAGUGUCAUUUGACACAUGGAGACCUUCUCCAAAGAUAGGGUUUGGGCUCCAUGAUGAGCCAGAUAGUCUCUGCUCUUUGAAAUCUUCAGUGUUGUGAUCAUAUUUUGUCACCUGAUCAGUCCUGGAAAAAAUCACAUGGAUGUUUGGCUCAUGAGGGACUGACACAACAACUUCGGGGACAGGGUCCGUCUGGAACUGGUCCUCGGCAGCCUUAAGGAAGUAACAAACAGUUGUUUAGUACCACAUAACAUCGAUACAAUCAAAUGCUAUCUGGAAUGUUCU